UAGGGAAUCUUCGGCAAUGGACGAAAGUCUGACCGAGCAACGCCGCGUGAGUGAAGAAGGUUUUCGGAUCGUAAAACUCUUUUGUUAGAGAAGAACAAGGACGUUAGUAACUGAACGUCCCCUGACGGUAUCUAACCAGAAAGCCACGGCUAACUACGUGCCAGCAGCCGCGGUAAUACGUAGGUGGCAAGCGUUGUCCGGAUUUAUUGGGCGUAAAGCGAGCGCAGGCGGUUUCUUAAGUCUGAUGUGAAAGCCCCCGGCUCAACCGGGGAGGGUCAUUGGAAACUGGGAGACUUGAGUGCGGAAGAGGAGGGUGGAAUUCCAUGUGUAGCGGUGAAAUGCGUAGAUAUAUGGAAGAACACCAGUGGCGAAGGCGGCUCUCUGGUCUGAAACUGACGCUGAGGCUAGAAAGCGUGGGGAGCAAACAGG
rnacentral:rRNA from 1 species